GUACUUGUUUCCCCUCUUUUCUAGUCUUUUCGUUCUCCGAAACCCUAAUCGGAAAACCCUACCCUUUUCUGCGCCGCCAUGGCCAAGAAGCGGAAGAGCCGAGCUUCAUACCAGCCCGAAAUCGAACCAGAACCAACCCCAAUUCAAGAGCCGGAGCAGCCCCAACCCGACCCUGAGCCCCAACUGGAAGCACCCAAUGAAGAACCAGAACAAGAGGUAGAAGAAGUAGAAGAAGAAGUGGAAGAGGAAGAGGAAGAGGAAGUCGAAGAAGCGGAUCCCGAAGAAGAGGGAGAGGAAGAGGAAGAGGAAGAGGAAGAGGGCGAAGAAGAGGAGAAGCCGGAAAGUAUGGAAGCAGAUGUUUCGAAAAGCGAUGCGGAGCUUGUGAAAGAAAACCCGUCAAACGAUGCCGUUUCAACUGGAAAAGCUAACGGCGAGGGGAAGAAGGCUGAGGGGAUUGAGGAAUUCGACGAUGAGCCACUCGAGAAGGUUCUGGAACCAUUCUCGAAGGACCAGCUUAAAGUCAUAAUUCAAGAGGCCGUGACCAAACACCCAGAUUUCAUGGAAAAUAUUAGGAAAUGGGCCGAUAAAGAUCCAGCACACCGGAAAAUUUUCGUGCACGGUCUUGGUUGGGAUACAACAACUGAAACCCUAACCAAUGUCUUUGGGAAAUAUGGGGAGAUUGAGGAUUGCAAGGCCGUUACCGAUAAGGUCUCAGGGAAAUCUAAAGGUUACGCCUUUAUACUUUUCAAGCACUGGAGUGGAGCCAGGAAGGCUUUGAAAGAGCCCCAGAAGAAGAUUGGGAGUCGGAUUACCUCAUGCCAGCUGGCUUCAGCUGGGCCUGUGCCGGCCCCUCCUCCAAUCGCCUCACCUGUUUCAGAGUAUACCCAGAGGAAGAUUUUUAUUAGCAAUGUUUCAGCAGACUUGGACCCCAAGAAGUUGUUUGAGUUCUUUUCCAAAUAUGGUGAGAUUGAGGAAGGACCUCUGGGAUUGGACAAGUAUACAGGGAAACCAAAAGGUUUCUGUUUGUUUGUGUACAGGUCUGUUGAGGGUGCAAAGAAGGCGCUGGAGGAGCCUCAUAAGAUUUUUGAGGGGCAUACACUGAAUUGCCAGAAGGCAAUUGAUGGGCCAAAGCAGCAUAAGAAUUAUUCACAGCAGCAACAACAGCAGCCACAUUAUCCCCAACAUCAGCAUCAGCAACAGCAGUAUUAUCAGCACACAGCUAAGAAGGGGAAAUAUUCUUCUGGUGGUGGAAGUGGAGCUACUUCAGCAGGACAUUUGAUGGCUCCAGCUGCAGGGCCUGGAGCUGUUGGGUUCAAUCCAGCUGUGGCCCCUGUUCUUGGACAGGCACUCACUGCAUUGCUUACAACACAAGGAGCUGGACUAGGGAUUGGUAAUCUACUUGGAGGACUUCCUGUGAAUCCUCAUGGGGUUCCACCUGUGGUGAACAAUGCACCGGGAUAUGGGGCUCAGAGUGCUGCAGGAGGCUAUGCAGGUCAUCCAGGAAUGCAGGGAGGAUAUCAGAACCCAGCUAUGGGGCAGGGAGGAGUGAGGCCGCAAGGUGGUGCCCAUUGGCGUGGUCAUUAGGCCUGGCAGAAGUUUUUUCCAACUGACCAUGCUGCCAUGGAAUGCCCUACUAAGCUGAUAUUGCAGUGUUCAUGAAGUGGAGGAAUCUGAGCGACAAGUAGACACCAUGGCGGACAUGUAAGCUCAUGAGUUUUGCACCCAGUGAGUGGCUAACUUUUCUUCCUGGCAUUGCAAUGUCGUGCCAUCUGUCAAAUGGAAUCUCACAUUUGCAUGACUGACAGCAGAUAUAUCUUCUUUGGUCGAUUAAAUUACAGCCUAGUGCCUGUUCACAUGUAUUAUCGUAACUGGUUGAGUUUUAGUGAAUUGGCCUUUUUUUGUUCUGUUUAAAGUUUGGAAACUGUGUUUGGCACAUUCUCCUCUCAUGAUGGUUCUUUGGGGAUUGUCUUAAACUUGUUUUGUUUUGCAUUGGUUCAAGACUUGAACCCUGCCUUAAUCUGAUCCAGGACUUCCUACUGGUUUUUGUUAA